AUCACCUGGGGAUCUUGUUAAAUUGCAAAUUCCAAUUGAGUUGGGGCAGGGCCUGAAAUUCUGCAUUUCUAACAAGCUUCCAAUUGAUGCUGA
rnacentral:pre_miRNA from 1 species